GACAGAUGGGAGCUUGCUCCCUGAUGUUAGCGGCGGACGGGUGAGUAACACGUGGGUAACCUGCCUGUAAGACUGGGAUAACUCCGGGAAACCGGGGCUAAUACCGGAUGCUUGAUUGAACCGCAUGGUUCAAUUAUAAAAGGUGGCUUUUAGCUACCACUUACAGAUGGACCCGCGGCGCAUUAGAUAGUUGGUGAGGUAACGGCUCACCAAGUCUGCGAUCUUUAGGGGGCCUGAGAGGGUGAUCCCCCACACUGGUACUGAGACACGGACCAGACUCCUACGGGAGGCAGCAGUGAGGAAUAUUGGACAAUGGGUGAGAGCCUGAUCCAGCCAUCCCGCGUGAAGGACGACGGCCCUAUGGGUUGUAAACUUCUUUUGUAUAGGGAUAAACCUACUCUCGUGAGAGUAGCUGAAGGUACUAUACGAAUAAGCACCGGCUAACUCCGUGCCAGCAGCCGCGGUAAUACGGAGGGUGCAAGCGUUAUCCGGAUUUAUCGGGUUUAAAGGGUCCGUAGGCGGAUCUGUAAGUCAGUGGUGAAAUCUCACAGCUUAACUGUGAAACUGCCAUUGAUACUGCAGGUCUUGAGUGUUAUUGAAGUAGCUGGAAUAAGUAGUGUAGCGGUGAAAUGCAUAGAUAUUACUUAGAACACCAAUUGCGAAGGCAGGUUACUAAGCAACAACUGACGCUGAUGGACGAAAGCGUGGGGAGCGAACAGG
rnacentral:rRNA from 1 species